GGCCUCAUUUUUUAGCUAAGUUAGACCCACCAAUAAGCAUGAGUGAAGCCAUUAUUGAACCCUCACCUGACAGAUUUUGGGCCCAAUCCCAUCUCCACCCGACUAUAAAUAGAGUGGUUGCUUCUCUCCUGAUACAAUAGAAUCACUAUAUCCAACUGAGAACAGUCAAUGUCAGAGAGGGUGCAGCACUCUACAAUGAUGGAAGAUCCCUCGAUUUAAUAUUAU
rnacentral:lncRNA from 1 species